UCAGCAUACUGGGAAACAAUUUGAAAAACGACCAACCUACCAACAGUAAGAUUCUGCGUGACAGUGAAAAAGUUAACUUUGUUUCCUUGGGUUCUGAUUCUGUAAAUAGUAAGGUAACAAGUACUGAUGGUGAACUAGGUGGCACAAGUACUUCUGAUCAGCCCAAUGUUCAACUGCAAGGGACUAUUCCUGGAAAACCACAUCAUGAUCAUUAUUCUAAAGAUGGGCUUCAGACAGAUUUUAUGCAUUCCCCUGUCCCUACCGGAGCUGUAGAAAAAAUUAACUCCGGAAGUGGUAUUGAUGCACAGAAGGUCGUGAGCUGAGAUAAUCUUGCACAUCUUUCUAUAAGGUUGGUGAUGUGAAGGAUGCAAGUAACCUGGUGUCAAAGGAAAGUGAAGUAAGUAAACGUAGCCAACUGGAUAUGUCAGGAAGUACAACGAUGAAGGAAAAAGUACCUGCACUGCCUUCUAACACUAAAAGGAAGAAACAAUCUUCAACUGUCCAAGAACGUCCUAAUCUUAAUCUCAAACGAACAAGAUCUGGGAGACUACUUUUACCUCCAGUAGAGUUUUGGUGAAACCAACAAGUCCCAUAUGAUAAGGUUUGCAGUCGUUUCAUUGUGGGAUUUCUAUUUGGCUGGGAGGAUGUUGCUGAUCAAUGCUUGGACCAACAAUCUGCUGGUAAUGGUGCUCCAACUAGUAUGUCUUCCUUUGAUGAGUCAAAAGAGGUGCUGUCUUUUCUGUCCAACAAGAAGACGUUCACUAACACGAAAAGCGGAGAGCCAGAAAAUCUUAGUUGCAGUUAUGAUACUGGUAUGGAUGAAGUUGUAAAAGAUGCUCCAGCAUCUACAAGUUCUGAUGUGAAAAAUGCUGAUCCAAAUGUGGUCAGAGUUGACGUUCCGGCGGGCAUCCUGAGUACAAAGUCGGCUAAAGCCAAAGGUGGAGUUAAAAAAAGGUAAAGUAGGUUGGACAAAGAAGAAGGGAACAAAUUCACGUUCUAUUUCUGGAUCUGCUGGCUGUGGAGUUGUACAAGUCCGUCUCAAAGAGGAUACAUACAAGUGUUUCUGAAGGAAAGUUGGAAAGAUCUAUGUCAGAAAUGCCAAUUGCAGCCACUCCUAGUGUGUCAGAAAGAUCUGGAAGUUGCAACCACGGAGGAGUCUACUCUGCAGAGAUCUUCCAAAGCUAACGAUAGUUGCUCGAUUAAAGAUGGUUUAGAUACUUUAAAAGUUGCUCUAAUUAGAGUCGCUGCAACAAGAAGGUUGAAUAACAUAAAAGUCAAAGAAAUAAGAAUUGAGCGUGUGGAUUGCUGCAAUGACAAUGUCAAUAGUAUCCCUGGUCCAAGAUUGGAGGCUUUUGAGACACCACAAAAAAGGUUCUUGGUUAAUAGCUGUCUUCCAAAUCCUUCCUAGCUGUAAUAUUGACAAUGUAAAGGAAAUUAUGAGGUCACCGAAUGGCAGAAAAACAGCUAGCAGAAUCAAAAUACUGGGAAACAAUUGAAAGACGACCAACCUACCAACAGUAAGAGUCAGCGUGAAAGAGAAAGUAAACUAUGUUUCUGUGGGUUCUGAUUCUGUUAAUAGUAAGGUAAGAAAUACUGAUGGAGAAGCUUCUAAUCUUAUUCUCAAAUGAUCAAGAUCUGGUACGUAAUUCGGUUAGUCCAUUUUUCAACUAGCAUUUGAAAUUGAUAGUUGUUACGUUUCAUUUUGAACUGCCUAACUGCUUGAGUUUAUUAAGAGCAUUUAGUUGCUUAUAAUGGAUAUGUAUUCUGCAGGGAGACUAAUGUUACCUCCAGUAGGGUUUUGGCGAAACCAACAAGCCCUAUAUGAUAAGUGGUGGAAUGAACGGUUACCUAUCCCUUUGUUGUAGAGAUCCUUCGCCUACCAUCUUUCGCCCUCCUAUUACAGGAUCGGAAGAUAUUAUGAACAAUCAAGAGAUGUAUUUUUUUUCAUUUCCUUCUGAGGCUAAUUUCUUUCGUAAAGUUUCUAGUUAUUCAUAUUCAUGAUUCCUUGCUUCCUUCCAGAUGUGUCAUAUACAGACUUCGAGAUUCGCUCAAACACAUAACUCCAGCUGGGGUUAUUUUUCCAAAACAGGUAACUGGCCCCUGGGUAGCACAAGCUUGACUUGGAAAGUCUUGUUGCAUUUCAUGAUUUUAAAUUUCUCUGGAGAACAAUAGUUUUCGUCCAGGAAGAUGAAGCAGAAUCACUGUCAAAGCUGGUGAUGGUCGUAAGUGGGAAGGAGGUUAUAUCUUACGAUCUUAAAAAAAUGAGUGUUACCCGACUCCAUUCUUUUCCUGGAUUAUUCUUUUUUCUAGAUGCUCCUACUGGAGGUGUAUGGGGUCAUCUUUAUAAUUACAUCGAGUCACUUGCGUGUGUUUGAUGCAAUUCCAUGUCUUUAUGGAGAUACAGUGUGAUAUAUGGAAUCAGGACUAAUAAUUCAGUUGAUUAAAUUUA